UGCUGCCUCUCGCUCUGCCAGCAGUGAACAAGCACUGCCCCUCCUGAGCCUCUGAGGGGGCAGCAGCCUCCUCAGGAGCAUUCCCCCCUUCCCUCCCAAAAAAAAAACCAAGGGGGAGCUGGUCAAAGUGCUGCCAGGGUGGGAUGUCUUGACCCCCAACGGACUCACUGCCAGACAGUGUUCCCAGGUGUCUGGUUACUGACCAGCCCGGCCGGUUGACAAAGGAAUCUGCCAGCAUUCAGUCAGCUCCAGGGCCUGACCCCCACCCUGCUGUGCCCUGAGUUCCCCAUCCCAGCCGCUUGCUCCUGGGACCGACUGCCCCACACCCUGAUUUCACCGCCCCUUGCUCGUGGGCCCAUCCCCCCAUCCCCUCAGGCCGGGGCCUAACCCUACCAUGUCCCGAUGGAGCAGGCGCUGAGUCAGCGCCUCCCAACCCAGCUCUGCAGGCAGCAGGGGACUUCCUCUAAUGGCCAUUGGGUGAACAGAGAUUCCACAAACAUGACAUAUUGCUGAAAAGUGACCAUUCCCACCGCAGCCAUUCAGAAUGAUCGACGUGGCCAGAACCAUUCAACUCAUAUGGUGUGCAAGUCCUGUAGUCUGAAUUUGUUCAGGAGGAAACACUUUGUGAAAGAGUACAGAAGCCUAUAAUCAGAAUGGUGGAGGAGAGGAGAGCCAGAAGAGUGGAAUCAAACAUAUAGCUUCAUGUCGAGACCUUAGAAAUCAUCCUUAAUUAUGGUCUGGAGCUAUGCCAAGCCUAUGAUGUAUUGUAUAGGAAUAUCUAUGCAUGCUAAUCUAUAGCAUGUUUUUAUAAAUAC